GUGCUAUAGACAGCAACUGUGUGUAAGUUGUUGGCUCCAAUUCAGUAACUGCACAGAAGCCAAAUCCAUCCUGCUUCCUGUGGAGAGAGUAUCAGGAUAAAAGAAACUGCUGCUGCAGGCCAAGUGGAAGUGCACUCCGGAAGCAAAGUAGUCCCAACUGUGAGGAUUGCCUAUAUUGAGGUUGUAGAGGUGGAUUAGACCCAGACAAAUGGAAGCAUCUCUU
rnacentral:lncRNA from 1 species